GGAAUCUUCCGCAAUGGACGAAAGUCUGACGGAGCAACGCCGCGUGAGCGAUGAAGGCCUUCGGGUCGUAAAGCUCUGUUGUCAGGGAAGAACAAGUACCGGAGUAACUGCCGGUACCUUGACGGUACCUGACCAGAAAGCCACGGCUAACUACGUGCCAGCAGCCGCGGUAAUACGUAGGUGGCAAGCGUUGUCCGGAAUUAUUGGGCGUAAAGCGCGCGCAGGCGGUUCCUUAAGUCUGAUGUGAAAGCCCCCGGCUCAACCGGGGAGGGUCAUUGGAAACUGGGGAACUUGAGUGCAGAAGAGGAGAGCGGAAUUCCACGUGUAGCGGUGAAAUGCGUAGAGAUGUGGAGGAACACCAGUGGCGAAGGCGGCUCUCUGGUCUGUAACUGACGCUGAGGCGCGAAAGCGUGGGGAGCGAACA
rnacentral:rRNA from 1 species